UACGAAGGGGGCUAGCGUUGUUCGGAAUCACUGGGCGUAAAGCGCACGCAGGCGGAUUGAUAAGUCAGGGGUGAAAUCCCGGAGCUCAACUUCGGAAUUGCCUUUGAUACUGUCUGUCUUCGAGUUCGGGAGAGGUUGGCGGAAUUCCUAGUGUAGAGGUGAAAUUCGUAGAUAUUAGGAAGAACACCAGUGGCGAAGGCGGCCAACUGGCCCGAUACUGACGCUCAUGUGCGAAAGCG
rnacentral:rRNA from 1 species